CCGAGGGGUCCGCAGCACCGCCGUGCCUCAGCCCCGCUGCAGCCCACCCAUCUGUCAGCGCUCGGCUGCGAGACAGAGCCGUGCCGGAGCCGCCCACCCCCGCGGAGCAGCGCAGACAGAACCCUCCCCGCGCUCUCAAAGUGGAGGUUCUGAUUACUGCGGGGCGCAGGAGCUGACAGCCGCCUCGUGCGGGAGCUCCUUACCCGUCUGCCUCCACAAAGAUGUUCGGAGGAAAAGGUCAGCUCCUCUGGGCCCAGCACUCGAGCACGUCUGCAGCAAGAGGCUGUACCAGCACAGAGCAAAUCAACUCACGGCUGUUUGCUUCGAAUCGUGUCUCUGCCUCCAAACCACACUCCUGCAGCUGAAUGCUAACGAGCACCAAGUGGAUGGGAGCUCGACUCACCUGAAGGGGCGAGGAGGGGAGGUUCCUCCUCUUCCCCUGAGCUUUGGCAUCCUCAUGGUGCUG
ensembl:lncRNA